UCCCUGGUGGCUCAGAAGGUAAAGCAUCUGCCUACAAUGCAGGAGACCCGGGUUUGAUCCCUGGGUUGGGAA
rnacentral:tRNA from 1 species